rnacentral:rRNA from 1 species
AGCGAACGCUGGCGGCAGGCCUAACACAUGCAAGUCGAACGAAGUCUUCGGACUUAGUGGCGGACGGGUGAGUAACACGUGGGAACGUACCUUUUGGUUCGGAACAACUCAGGGAAACUUGAGCUAAUACCGGAUGAGUCCUUAGGGGGAAAGAUUUAUCGCCGAAAGAGCGGCCCGCGUUAGAUUAGCUAGUUGGUGAGGUAAAGGCUCACCAAGGCUACGAUCUAUAGCUGGUCUGAGAGGAUGAUCAGCCACACUGGGACUGAGACACGGCCCAGACUCCUACGGGAGGCAGCAGUGGGGAAUCUUGCGCGAUGGGCGAAAGCCUGAUGCAGCCAUGCCGCGUGAAUGAUGAAGGUCUUAGGAUUGUAAAAUUCUUUUACCAGGGACGAUAAUGACGGUACCUGGAGAAAAAGCCCCGGCUAACUUCGUGCCAGCAGCCGCCGUAAGAC